GGCGCUGUAGCUCAAGUGGUAGAGUGCUUGCCUUGCAUGCAUGAGGCCCUGGGUUUGAUUCCUCAGCACCA
rnacentral:tRNA from 1 species